GAAACGAGUGACGCUGGCGGCGUGCCUAAUACAUGCAGUCGAGCGGACAGAAGGGAGCUUGCUCCCGGAUGUUAGCGGCGGACGGGUGAGUAACACGUGGGUAACCUGCCUGUAAGACUGGGAUAACUCCGGGAAACCGGAGCUAAUACCGGAUAGUUCCUUGAACCGCAUGGUUCAAGGAUGAAAGACGGUUUCGGCUGUCACUUACAGAUGGACCCGCGGCGCAUUAGCUAGUUGGUGGGGUAAUGGCUCACCAAGGCGACGAUGCGUAGCCGACCUGAGAGGGUGAUCGGCCACACUGGGACUGAGACACGGCCCAGACUCCUACGGGAGGCAGCAGUAGGGAAUCUUCCGCAAUGGACGAAAGUCUGACGGAGCAACGCCGCGUGAGUGAUGAAGGUUUUCGGAUCGUAAAGCUCUGUUGUUAGGGAAGAACAAGUGCGAGAGUAACUGCUCGCACCUUGACGGUACCUAACCAGAAAGCCACGGCUAACUACGUGCCAGCAGCCGCGGUAAUACGUAGGUGGCAAGCGUUGUCCGGAAUUAUUGGGCGUAAAGGGCUCGCAGGCGGUUUCUUAAGUCUGAUGUGAAAGCCCCCGGCUCAACCGGGGAGGGUCAUUGGAAACUGGGAAACUUGAGUGCAGAAGAGGAGAGUGGAAUUCCACGUGUAGCGGUGAAAUGCGUAGAGAUGUGGAGGAACACCAGGUGGCGAAGCGACUCUCUGGUCUGUAACUGACGCUGAGGAGCGAAAGCGUGGGGAGCGAACAGGAUUAAUACCCUGGGUAGUCCACCCCGUAAACGAUGAGUGCUAAGUGUUAGGGGGUUUCUCCCCCUUAUGCUGCA
rnacentral:rRNA from 1 species